CGUGUGGUCUCGGUUCUGGCUGCGUGUGGUCCAGGGUAUAAGGAAAGACCCUGGCUGUCUGCGGUGUGGACCCCUCACACAUUGAGCGCUGACUUUGCCAGGCGUUACAUAGAAGGAGACCAUAGCUCCGUGUGUUACUUGUUAUUAGUAUCAUCAUCAUCAUCAUCAUCAUCACCAUCAUCAUUUGGAAUCAGGCAUAAUAGACAGUAGACUCAUGUUUUGACACUUCAAAGAUUGUUUUGUGCCCUGGCAUCUCCAUGUGCAGCAGAGACCACACUUUGAGAAGCAGUCUUCAAGCCAAUAUUGUUUUUCACGUCUUUAAGCUGCCUAUGCCAAAUUACAACAUCAUAAAAACAUCUGCUCUUGAGAGAAGACCUCUUCCCACUGGACAUCUGGAGUCUCCCUGUUUUCUUCCUAGCAUAGCCAACCAUUGACAGUUCUGAAAGCACAUCUGUGAGCACAGUAUCCUCAUUUCCAAAUCACAGAUGCCCAGAAGAGUUGUGAGUCAGUUCUGGUUGCUCCUGUAUAGAAGCAUGGAAAGAGAAUUAGAAUCAGUAGUCUCUAGCUGGAAUUACCAGGCCAUAGGUUUCUGAAGGAGCUGUUGAUCACUGUAGACUUUAUAGUAGCAUAUGAAGCAGCCUGUUUUCACUGGCCAUGUUCCUGCUGGGAGAUUUGCAGGCUUAAAUGCAUUCCUGACAUACAGCCCUACCACAUUAGCAUGAGUUAUUUAAAACACUGUGUUUAAUGUGGUAAGCUUAAUAGACUGAUCUAAUAAUCUAAGAUGGGAAAACAUCAUUUAGUAAUAUAAUAUCAAACAGAACAUACACAUCCAAGUAGUGUAGAAAAAUAAAGUACCCCAUAAAGAUAAUGAAAUGUGGAUGCUGAAUAAAACCAUUGAUUAUUAUAUAUAAGGUCCAGUGUUUGUUUACUCCCACCAAUGGAAAAGCAGCAAAGUUUAACUGCAUACAGAAUGUCAUUACUUUGAGUUAAUAAAGAAGUUUCAUGAGCAGUAAUAUAAAAGACACUGAAAAAAAAAAGGGGGGCUGGGGAUUUAGCUCAGUGGUUUUGCCACCUGCUGUGCAAGUGCAAGAACCAGAGUUCAAUCCCUGGUACCAGAAAAAAAAAAAAGACACUGAAAUCUUCCAAGUUGACUUGAAAUUCACAGAACAAAUCAACCCAGAGUUUAACAACAGGUAAUUUUAUUACUUUCAGUUGCAUGCAGAGAGAAAUACCUGGGUAAAGGCCAAGUGGGAGGCGUUAGGCCUCUUUAGCACCUUUCAUUCAGUAAAUAUUUGCUGUUUGGAUGAAUGAAUUUCUUGUUUGCAUACAUGUGUUUGUGGAAAAUAAUUUUGCAUGUACUAAAAAUAAAGUAAAAAUGCAACAAAUUAAUUAAUAGACCAGAAGCUGAGAAAUAUGAUCAAAUGCUUCAUUGAUAAUCACAAUUGAAUCAUAUGUGGUGCUUACGAGGUGCCAGCCAUUGUUCUAGACAUUAGUUAUCUGUUCAUUUAAUCUGUAUGCCAGCCUGAUGAUGUAGAUGCUUUCCCUGCCCUGUGUUCCUAUGGCCUGAAUGCUUCUGUGAGCAGGACAGCUGGGCUCAUGGGUGUGGGCAAUCUGCCUUGACUGUGCUCUCCUAAUACGCAUUACUGCUAAGCAUUGAGCUAAAAGCUCAGAUUUCAGUGGGACAUAGUCUCUUUCCUUAAAGACUGGUGCAAGCAAAAGACAAACAUUAUCAGAACAGUCCUAAAGUGUGUGGACCCAUUAUUACUUCAAAAUAUAUGGUGGAGUACUUACUGAGGCUCCAGCAGGGGCCUGUGGUAUACUUAGAUCCUUCAAAAUGUUGCAUUGCAGGACAAAAGCUAUACUGUGUCCAUGCUAAACCUGGACUAAGAUGUUGAAAUAGGACUGCCCUUCUGCUUAUAUUUCAGAAUGUGUUCAAAAUAAGCAGACACCUUUGUUCUCUUAAGGAUUGUCUGUGGACUACAGCUUCUAAUUCCCUUGAGAGCUUGUUAGAAAUGCAGAGUUUCAGACCCAUCCCAGAGCCACUGAAUCAGAACCUACACAUUACAACAUCCCUAGGAGAUGCUGUGCACAGUGAAAUUUGAGAAGCUUUGAAUUAAAAUGAAAAUUGAAAGUUGGCAAUUGGGUCUGUCAGGAUCAUCAAUGGAAGCCUGGUCAACAUUUGUGGCUGGGGCAGUUUGGCCUUCCCUAGGACCUGGUACAUUUGAGGCAUUCUCUCUGGAACCUAGGCACAUGAUUGACAAAGGCAGUGUGAGCCCCAAAGAGAGACAGAGUCUUUGGCAAGAGCACAGGCUGUCUGGGGCUCCUGGCUACCCUGCCACCAUGCUAGUGGAAAGCUGGAAAAAGAUGCCUCCAGUCAGUAAAGACAAAACCAUUUGGGUCCAGACAAUGGAGACAGAAGCCAGCUCUGCAGGAGGUUGGUUAGGGUGCAACCCUAAAACCAAUGUGAGAACUGCUCCCAAGCUCCCUCUACUGACAGAGUUUAUAAUUGUGCUGCUGGGAAAGAUAAACUACUUCAAAGAUCUAUAUCCAGUUUCACAGAGAGAGAGUUAAUUACUUUUCUCAUUGCUGAAACAAAAUACCUGAUACCCAAAGUUAAUAGGAGAAGGUUUAUUUAGCUCACAGUUUGUAGAGAUUUCAGUCCAUAAUUGGUUGGCUCCAAGCAGGGUGGCACACGGCAGAGGGACAACAGUUUAUGACAGACUGAAGGUAGCAAAGAAACAAGGGAAUUUAACAGCAUCUUUCUGCCCCUUUUAUCUUAGCCACUCUAAUCCUGAGGAGGGCAAUAGGGAGUAGGGAGACCCAGUCUUUUUUCAGUUGUAUGGAGAGUUUGGUGAGCUGGCCCUUAACUAGUGGUUUUCUCUACUUUUCCUCAGGAUGGGCCAGCAGGGGAUGUGGAGUUUCCAAAUGACCCUAAGGGAUUACCCUGGGUUAUUUGGGCAAUGAAAGCAGAUCCAUUGUCUGACUGGAUAGAGGUGGGGAGGCCAAAUUGAGGUAUUAUGUGAGCCGGGAGGCAUUGUAUGACUGAUUCUGCCUUUUCUGAGGUUGUGGGGAAGGCCUCAGUCUAUCCUGUGAAUGUGUCUCGAAGGUAUUUACAUUUUUUAACUCAUGGCAUGUGUGUGAAGUCUUAUCUGUGAGUCUUGGGCAGAGGUCAAUCCUCGAGUUUAGUGGGUUGGGUUGAAGGAAGUCUUGCGGGGGGUACUGAGUGGCAGAUGGAACAGUGUACUGUGAUUUCUUCUAGUAGGGUUUUCCAGGAAGGGCCUGAUAUGAGUGUCUGUAGCAGUUGGCCAAGGGGCUUAUAUCCUUUCUGAAAGCUGUUGUGGAGAGGAUCUGAUGGCUCUGGGAGGCAGGGAGGAGAAAUUUUCCUUGGCCUAAAAACCACCUGUCGGUCAUGGGGAAUGUUUUGUAUUUGGAGAUAUUUUGGGGUGAGUAGGUGGGGGUGAUGCCUGCUAGGGUAAAGUAUUGGCCCUUGGGGCUUGUGGGUAAGGUUUUUGUGGAAAUGGUAACUUCUUUGGCAGUUUUGGCUGGAAAAGAAUUUCCCUGUGUUAUGGGGUCUGAUGGCUUUUGGUGGCCCUUACAGUGGUUGACUCUGGCUUGAGUAGGUAGGAGUGCGGCCUUCAGGAGACCCUUUAUUAGAUUGGAGUUUAUGAUGGAUGAUCUUAUUGUGAGAAAUCCUCUUUCUGCCCAGAUUGCAGAGUGGUUGUGGAGGAUAUGGUAGGCAUAUUUUGAGUCUAUAUAUGUUGACUUUGUAUCCUCUUGCUAGGGUGAGCACUUGGGUUAGAGCUGCGAGUUCAGCCUGUUGGAAGGUGGUAUGCUGGCACAGGGCUUGAGCUUUGACUACAGAGUUUAUGGUGACAACUGCAUACCCUGCCUUUGUUGGUGGAGUGAGUAGCCUUAUAUGAGCUCUCAUCUAUGAACCAAGUCUAUUUGGGGACCUGUACAGGGAAAUCUGAGAUGUGUGGGAAGGGGUUACAGUGUAAGCAUAUGAGGAGACAGUCAUGGUCCCAGGUUGGGAGUGUCCCUGUUGCUGGCUGCUUGGGAAUCAGGGAAGAGGAAGGAUUGAAGCUUGACCCUGAAGUGAUGGUGAUUGUAGGUGCUUCUGAGAAGAGUGCAUAGAGUUGUAGGAGCCUCACAGCUCAGAGUAGAUGUGAGAGGAGGUCAGAUUUUGGAGGUUAUGAGGGGAAUAAAGGGUAAUGGAUAUGUGGUGGGUGAUUUUUAAGGCUUCUAGUAGCAUGGCUGCCAUGGCCACUGCUGUCCUCAGACAGGGUGGCUGUGCUAUAACAGUGGGGUCUAGCUGUCUUGAUAAGAAGGUGACUGGCCAGGGAGUUAGUGGGAAUCGGGAAGUUAUGUUUGAGAAGGUGAGUAAUGAUGGAUUUUAGUUCUCGGAGGGCUGGAUCAGGUAGGGGGUAUUGAUGCUGGGCAGAGUAGGGGUGAUUCUUUUUAGGGGGAUGCUGAAGGGCAGAUGAUGUUGAAUGACGGGGUUGAGAUGUCCCAUAUGCGGGGGUUGAGGGAGGGAGAAGAUAAGGGAUAGGAGGAAGGCGUCGCAGUAGGUAUGAGAAGAGUGGAGAUAGGGUGGGGAGCGGAGCCUGGAAUAGUGAGGUUGGCAGAGAGUUUUGUUAAAAUAUCUUGUCUCAUGAGUGGGGUUGGACAGGUGGGAAUGACUGGAAAUGAAUGAAUAAACAUUUGGUUUCCCACUUGGCAUAAGAGCAAAUGGGUUUUGAGAGGCCUGGACACAGUGCUGUCAAUUCCUACAACAGUAUUUGAGGCUAAAGUUAGCUAUCCUGAGAAUGAAGAGAGGGUGGAAUGGGUUGCCCCUGUACUGAUCAGAAAUAAAACAGUCUUACCUUCCACUGCAAGAUCUACCCAGAGUUUGGUGGCUGUGAUGGUCCAAGGGGCAUCUGAGACCUCUGGGGCAUGUCAGUCAUCUGAGGUCUAACUGAUCAGGUGUUUGAGGACACCUGAACCCAGCAGGUGCCCUGGGAGGGAACCCCUGGGGCAGGCCCAGCCACCCCAGUGCAGUCUGACUUCCAGUGAGGGACUCUGCAUGUGGGUCAUGGCUUGGGAGUUGGUACUGGGUUGGGACAGUCUUUGGCCCAGUGGCCAAUCUGGUGACACUUAAAGCAGGGUCCCAAGGGAGUGGAUCCAUUCUUUGGAUCUCUGGAGGUUUUAUUUGGCCCCUGAUUGGCUUUCAGCCCUUUUGGUGGGUUUCUUAUGGUGGAUGCAAAUAGUUAUAAUUCAGAAAUAUGCAUUUGGUGGGCAGCCUCAUCAGGACUAGUGAAAAAUAUUAAAUGCUUGAUUGAUCAAUUCUUAAUAGGGCCCUGAGGGCCAGAUUUAAUUUUUUGGAGCCUUCUGUGAAUAUCUGGAGCAGAUUGGGUAAUAAAAUGCAUCUUUAAGUUAAGUUGCUCUUCUGGACUCUCAGGGCUUAGAGCAGUAAACUUUCUGAGAGUGGAGGCUAGGCGAGACAUAAACUGGGCUGGAUUCUCAUCUCAUGUUUGAAUUAUUUCUUUUAAUUUGUCAUAAUUAACUGGUGUGUGGCUGCCUCUCUUAGGCCCUCAACCAGGCAAGCUACCAUCUAGUCUCAGCAUUGCCUUGCAGGAACGUGCCCCUGUUUAUCAAUGUGAUUGAAAUCUUAUUGGGGCUUGGCCCAGGAAUGGUUGUAGCUCUGUCCUCUAAACUGGACUAAAGCCACCUUUGUUUGACAGCAUAAGUCUGAGACAGGGACCAACCACAUUUUUGCUUCUCGGUUGAGAGCAUUCAAGAAAGGUUGACACUUAUGUCUUCCCAGGUUAAGUCAUAAGAUGGAAUGAGAUAUUGAAAUUUUUGAACAUAUUUAUUGGGAUCUGUGAAGAAGGAACCCAGGCACAGAUUAAUCUGAGAAAGAUCUGACAAAGAAAAAGGGGCAUGAACUCAGAACUACUCCCUCCACCCAAGCCACCUCCAGAAGCAAAAACCGAGGAGCAGGGAGUAGGGAAAAAACGCCAAACUGCUGUUUGAACCUAGUGUGAGAUGGGAUUGGAAUGGUCUUGUCAGGAUAAGGAGGAGGACUGGAAAUGUUAGAUAAAUGGAGAGAGUAGGGGCCAUAGCAGAGGAAGUUACAGUAGGAGGUCCUGAAGAAAGCUGAGCAGUUCUGGUGGCUGCAGCUGAAGAGGGAGGGAGGCUGCAGUUGGAAGGAAGGGAGAAAGUUGGAGGAAGGGAGGGAGCUGAUGGAGGGGUUGAGAUAAGAAGUUCAGGCUCACAAGAGGCACAGAGGGGAGACAGUGGAGAGCAAAGAAUGACUGGAUUACAGGACCUCAGACCAUUUUCCCAGCUGGUGUCAAUAAUUGUCUAGAUGUCAGAGAAAUGAAAAGUCAAAAGUGCCAUUUUUCAGACCAAUGUGAUUUAUUAUCUAAUUUGUAUUGUGGCCAGGCUGUAUAGUAAAAGAAAAUUAGGCACUUUGGCUUCAGGUUGGGGUAAAGGUAAAGCAGCUUGAGAGUCUUUAAAACAUAUGCAAGUAGGGAA